AGCCAAUAAAGCCCUUGGAAAAGCUGGCCUUAUGUUUUGUGUACACAAUCCCUGUACGGGGUUCCUGACCUGUGUUUCCUGAACCCUGCCCAGCUAGAGAUUAACGUCUGACCAUCAACAUAGGACACUGUGCAGAUGGCUACUUGCUGGCGCACAUGAAGACCAAAGCCAGGACACAAGCCCCAGCCCUGCUAAACACGGCAGAGACUCUGCCCCAGCCCACCUCCUGUGAGAAUCUGCUUCACUCCACAGCUGACCCCAGCAUCUUCAUGUGAGGACCAUGAAUGGACAUAGUUUCCAGGAUUUUUUGUGACCCAGGAAACCCGAACUCUCAUCAAAAAUGAAUAAAUAAAAGGAGGGAUGGGUAAGAAAAUGCUAAAAAUCUCCUUUUUGAAUCAUUAACAUUCACUUGAAAUUUGUCUCCACUAUUUCCUACUACCCUAGCAAACUCCAACCUGAAUAGCAUGGGUGAUGGCACUAAGCCCUAUAAUAGAAAAAGUGCCCUUAAGCUCUGUAUUAGUCCGUUCUCUCACUGCUAAUAAAGAUACACCUGAGGCUGGCUAAUUU
rnacentral:lncRNA from 10 species